UAAUCUGAAAUGAAAAUGCUGAAUUUGACAAAUCAGAAGAUCCAAGUACAACAUAGAAUGAAAAAAAUCUCAUUAAACUGCACCCUUAAUAUACAUCACCGACCUUCAAUUCAAUCAGGACCAAAACAAUUGCUAACGUGCCAUCAAUAAGUUUAUGACCUAAGAAUUAAUUCGAAGUAAAAUACAGUAAAAGCUGUGUUAACUGGCAUUUUACUAACUGGUAUAUUCUAUUAACCGGAAUUUCCUGCCCAUACUCUUCCAGAUAUGCAGGGGGUUCUUUCUGCUUUCUCUUUCUGCACAGCCACUGCACAUGUCCCAGGAGGCAGGGGGGGGGGGGGUGUGCCCCUGGAUCUGUGCAGGACAGGGCGGGCUGCUGCUGGUAACUAGAAUUUUUAGAUAACCAGAAUUUUUAGAUAACUGGCACCCUCCUUACCCCACUCAUGCCGGAUAACAAAGCUUUCACUAUAAUCAGAUAUAAACGUAGUGUUGAGUUUAUAUCCAAAGAAGUUUAAAAACAAGAUUUCCAUGAAAAUCAAGUUUGUACCUAAAGCCUGAAGUAUUUUAUUUUUAGAAGAGCUGAGUACCUGUAUUCUCUCUGAAGUCAAUGGAAGGGACAGAUUCUAAAUUAAUAAAACUACUCUCUUAAGUGCAUUCACCCAAGGAACCUUGUCUGGACUAAACAAAGACAUUGGAUUUUUUAUACAUUAUAAUCUGCCUGGCAACUGACUCCCCAGCCCAGCCCCUGGCUUCUCUACUUUUCAUUCCAUCCAGGAAGAGCACACACCAACUGCUGAAACUUCCUUAGCCUGACAAAGGGUUUUUGAACCCGAAAGCUUGCUUAAUAACUAUUCUCCAACCAUUUGGGUUGGUCUAAUAAAAGAUAUAAAAUUCACCCAAGGAACCUUGUCUUCACACAAAUGGACAAUUCAUCAGUAACAGUACCCCACUGGUAAUUAAUAAAAAAUGUAUACCAGAUGAGAGAUAAAUAUCAAUUGCUGGUUUCUUACAUGCUGCUUCAGAAAGGAGAAUAUAUCAGAUAAAGGCUUGGUCUUAAGUCUAAGACAAACUUUUCUGACACAUUUUUAGAAGAGGAACAGCCCAAAGAAGAUAUGUGCACAAAUUCUUCACAUCACUCUUGUUUUAUGAUGCUCUAAUGUGACCAACUGGGGAGCUCCUAAACAAGUUCCAGGAAGAGGUUACUUCUGGGUCAACUCAUGCUAUCUUCACUUGAAUCCUUACUGAUACAAUAAAAAUGUAAUGUUUAAUCACUA